UACGGGGGGGGCAAGCGUUGUUCGGAAUUACUGGGCGUAAAGGGCUUGUAGGUGGCCAACUAAGUCAGACGUGAAAUCCCUCGGCUUAACCGGGGAACUGCGUCUGAUACUGGAUGGCUUGAGUGUGGGAGAGGGAUGCGGAAUUCCAGGUGUAGCGGUGAAAUGCGUAGAUAUCUGGAGGAACACCGGUGGCGAAGGCGGCAUCCUGGACCAUUACUGACACUGAAAGCGAAAGCCAGGGGAGCAAACGGG
rnacentral:rRNA from 1 species